GCGUUCGUGGUGGUAUGGUCAGCAUGCAUGCCUCCAGCAUUCGACGGGGGAUCGAUUCCCCCCGAUGGCA